rnacentral:rRNA from 1 species
AGACGGAGGGGGCUAGCGUUGUUCGGAAUUACGGGGCGUAAAGAGCACGUAGGCGGUCACGCAAGUUGGGGGUGAAAUCCCGAGGCUCAACCUCGGAACUGCCUUCAAAACUGCGAGACUAGAGACCGGGAGAGGUAAGCGGAAUUCCUAGUGUAGAGGUGAAAUUCGUAGAUAUUAGGAAGAACACCAGUGGCGAAGGCGGCUUACUGGACCGGUACUGACGCUAAGGUGCGAAAGCGUGGGGAGCGAACAGGAUUAGAAACCCCGGUAGUCC